rnacentral:rRNA from 1 species
AACGGCCAUACCAUGCUGAAUAGACAGGUUCUCGUUAGAUCACCGAAAUGAAGCAUCAUUGGGCGCGGUCAGUACUUGGGUGGGUGACCACCUGGGAACACUGCGUGCCGUU